rnacentral:rRNA from 1 species
GACGAACGCUGGCGGCGUGCUUAACACAUGCAAGUCGAACGGAAAGGCCCUGCUUUUGUGGGGUGCUCGAGUGGCGAACGGGUGAGUAACACGUGAGUAACCUGCCCUUGACUUUGGGAUAACUUCAGGAAACUGGGGCUAAUACCGGAUAGGAGCUCCUGCUGCAUGGUGGGGGUUGGAAAGUUUCGGCGGUUGGGGAUGGACUCGCGGCUUAUCAGCUUGUUGGUGGGGUAGUGGCUUACCAAGGCUUUGACGGGUAGCCGGCCUGAGAGGGUGACCGGCCACAUUGGGACUGAGAUACGGCCCAGACUCCUACGGGAGGCAGCAGUGGGGAAUAUUGCACAAUGGGCGGAAGCCUGAUGCAGCAACGCCGCGUGCGGGAUGACGGCCUUCGGGUUGUAAACCGCUUUCGCCUGUGACGAAGCGUGAGUGACGGUAAUGGGUAAAGAAGCACCGGCUAACUACGUGCCAGCAGCCGCGGUGAUACGUAGGGUGCGAGCGUUGUCCGGAUUUAUUGGGCGUAAAGGGCUCGUAGGUGGUUGAUCGCGUCGGAAGUGUAAUCUUGGGGCUUAACCCUGAGCGUGCUUUCGAUACGGGUUGACUUGAGGAAGGUAGGGGAGAAUGGAAUUCCUGGUGGAGCGGUGGAAUGCGCAGAUAUCAGGAGGAACACCAGUGGCGAAGGCGGUUCUCUGGGCCUUUCCUGACGCUGAGGAGCGAAAGCGUGGGGAGCGAACAGGCUUAGAUACCCUGGUAGUCCACGCUGUAAACGGUGGGUACUAGGUGUGGGGUCCAUUCCACGGGUUCCGUGCCGUAGCUAACGCUUUAAGUACCCCGCCUGGGGAGUACGGCCGCAAGGCUAAAACUCAAAGGAAUUGACGGGGCCCCGCACAAGCGGCGGAGCAUGCGGAUUAAUUCGAUGCAACGCGUAGAACCUUACCUGGGUUUGACAUGGAUCGGGAGUGCUCAGAGAUGGGUGUGCCUCUUUUAGGGUCGGUUCACAGGUGGUGCAUGGCUGUCGUCAGCUCGUGUCGUGAGAUGUUGGGUUAAGUCCCGCAACGAGCGCAACCCUUGUUCACUGUUGCCAGCACGUUAUGGUGGGGACUCAGUGGAGACCGCCGGGGUCAACUCGGAGGAAGGUGGGGAUGACGUCAAGUCAUCAUGCCCCUUAUGUCCAGGGCUUCACGCAUGCUACAAUGGCUGGUACAGAGAGUGGCGAGCCUGUGAGGGUGAGCGAAUCUCGGAAAGCCGGUCUCAGUUCGGAUUGGGGUCUGCAACUCGACCUCAUGAAGUCGGAGUCGCUAGUAAUCGCAGAUCAGCAACGCUGCGGUGAAUACGUUCCCGGGGCU